AUGCGGAGGGGGCUAGCGUUGUUCGGAAUUACUGGGCUUAAAGGAUGCGUAGGCUGCACGGAAAGUUGGGUGUGAAAGCCCUCAGCUCAACUGAGGAAUUGCAUCCAAAACUGCCGUGCUUGAGGGAGACAGAGGUGAGCGGAACUCAAGGUGGAGCGGUGAAAUGCGUUGAUAUCUUGAGGAACACCGGUGGCGAAAGCGGCUCACUGGGUCUCUUCUGACGCUGAGGCACGAAAGCUAAGGUAGCAAACGGGAUUAGAAACCCCAGUAGUCC
rnacentral:rRNA from 1 species